rnacentral:rRNA from 1 species
AUUGAACGCUGGCGGCAUGCCUUACACAUGCAAGUCGAACGGUAACGCGGGGCAACCUGGCGACGAGUGGCGAACGGGUGAGUAAUGCAUCGGAACGUGCCCAGUUGUGGGGGAUAACUGCUCGAAAGAGCAGCUAAUACCGCAUACGACCUGAGGGUGAAAGCGGGGGAUCGCAAGACCUCGCGCAAUUGGAGCGGCCGAUGUCGGAUUAGCUAGUUGGUGGGGUAAAGGCCCACCAAGGCGACGAUCCGUAGCUGGUCUGAGAGGACGACCAGCCACACUGGGACUGAGACACGGCCCAGACUCCUACGGGAGGCAGCAGUGGGGAAUUUUGGACAAUGGACGCAAGUCUGAUCCAGCCAUGCCGCGUGCGGGAAGAAGGCCUUCGGGUUGUAAACCGCUUUUGUCAGGGAAGAAAUCUUCUGGGUUAAUACCUCGGGAGGAUGACGGUACCUGAAGAAUAAGCACCGGCUAACUACGUGCCAGCCGCCGCGGUAAUAC